UACAGAGGGGGCAAGCGUUGUUCGGAAUUACUGGGCGUAAAGGGCGCGUAGGCGGCCUGCUAAGUCGAACGUGAAAUCCCCGGACUCAACCCGGGAACUGCGUCCGAUACUGGUGGGCUUGAAUCCGGGAGAGGGAUGUGGAAUUCCAGGUGUAGCGGUGAAAUGCGUAGAUAUCUGGAGGAACACCGGUGGCGAAGGCGGCAUCCUGGACCGGUAUUGACGCUGAGGCGCGAAAGCUAGGGGAGCAAACGGG
rnacentral:rRNA from 1 species